CAGGAAGAAGAAUACAAACGCCCAAUUUCUUAUGGUGAAUUAUACAACAAAGUUCACAAACGAAAAGAUGGUCAAUAUGUGUCCAACAAAGCAAAAAGCUUCAUUGAAUCAUAUGAAAAUGCUAUGACUGAAAAAUAUGGGAAAGACACGUCAAAGCAUCCUAUAGUUGACUCUGGUGUUUGGAU